rnacentral:lncRNA from 1 species
CUUCCUCUGGAAAUUGAGAUGCAUAAACAUCCUCUGGGUCUGCAGGUGAACGACUGACUCCUUCACUUGCAUCAGGAUAUGAAGACUUCACUCCUUUCUCCUGAUCUCCCCCUGUUUCCAUGCCUUCAUGUGGAGAAGAGUGUUCCUCAGGUUCUCCUUCUUCUCUUCUUUCUUCUUCAGGUCUUUCCUCCUCUGCUUCUUUUUCAGCUUCUCUUUCUUCUUCU